AUGUGUUUGUCUGCACAGGUCAGACACUUUCCCAGCACUUGGCAGCAAAUGCCAUCCUGCAGAAGCAUCUCCAGCCAGGCCCAGGGAGGCAGAGGGGGCAGAGCAGCCCCCUGGCACAGGCCCUGCAGAGUCAGUGCCUGGUUUUGCACCAAAGGAUGGUCUGGGUUUCUCAUCUGGAGACGUUGCUCUGGUUGGCACAGGUGUUUUUGGGAGCCCUCCUGGCCCAGCUGCCAGCCAGCCCGUGCCCUGUGUGGCCAAUGGGGAUGCCCAGGGUGCCAGGGAGGGAGCAGAGGCUGCCCCAGGGAGAAGCUUCCAGAACAGCCCUUCCCAUUCCUGUUGUCAUGCAGGGAAGGAAGGAGAGGUAAGAACUGCCCAGCCUGGUGGGUGUGGGGGGAAGCCAGCCCUGCUCACUCACAGUCUGUGCUGGGCCAGCAGGAGUUUCACUGCAGCAGCCAAAGCCUUGGGGCUGCUGCUCCUGCUUCUGUUUUGGUGCCACCUGGGUGUGCCAGGAGCUUCCCACCGUGCUCAGAUCCCUGGAGAGGGGCUGGAAAUGCCCUCCCUGGCUCCCACAGCACAAGCAGAUGUGGAAGGAGGGAUUGGCUGCGUGGGAUCAGGUCUGGUUUUCCCCAGGAUGAACAAAUCCAGCUCCAAUCAGUUUUUCUUAAAAGCCUUUCUGAAUAUUUGGCCAUAAUCUGGUUUCUGAGGAGUGGUGCUGUUUGUUAAAAACUAUUUACAGAUGUAAAUGGAGCAAGAUUUAUCUGGGUGAGCUGUGAUAGAAAGUCAAAAAACAUUGAAAUGGAACUCCUUCUGCAAGGCUUGAGAAUAACAUCUGAAGAAUACUGAAACUUAAUGAUUUGCAGUGUCUUAAUUUUCUGAUUUCCCCUGAACAUAUGAAGACUUGGCAGGAUCAGAUUCAAAUGACUAAAUGGAUUAAAUUUAAAAAACUGAACCUAAAUUUAACUGGAUUAAAUUUAUUUGUUGAGUUUUCCUGAGGCACAAAAAGUGUCAUAAACACAGGAGAGAGAUAGGUCAGAUCAGAGAAGAUCCUGAUUCCUCAUGCUGACCUUGGCCAGCAUCAGGAGCUGGGGGUUCAGUUCUGGGGUAACUUACGCUUGGUUUCCUUUUUGCAGAUAAAAGUGACCUUGUCAAAAUCUGCUCAGGAGAAGCUGAGGAGGAGGAGGAAAGAAGACAAAGAGCACAACCAUAAAGAGCAGCAGGAAGGCAAAGACUUGGAAGGGAAGGAAGAAUUCCCUUGGGAAAGGAUUAGACUGAGUAUGAGUGAACCAGAGAAACUCACAGCAGAAAGUGAGGAUGAGGGUUUGUCUUAAAUGAAUAUUCCCUGUUCAAUGCUGCUGAAGUGGAAAUUAGGGCUGGUAAUUCUGGGUUCUAACUUGGUUUUGAUUGGUUUUAUUGUAUUUUGGCCAUUUCCUUCUUUCCUAGGGUUUAGUCUCUGUGGGGAUUUACUGACAUCACCAAGAAAUGGAUCUUUGUCCUUAGAAAAUGUGGCCUUGAACCCUUCCCUGAAAAGAACCUCCAGUUUGAAGAGGUCCAAGUGUUCAUCCUUGCUGGAUUCUG
rnacentral:lncRNA from 1 species